UCUCCGAUUUGAGGAUAUUUUAACGGCUUCGUCGAAAUGCCAAGAAUGAUUAAAAGGCCUGGUGCUGUUUUGUAUUCUAGAAAGGCAAAGUGAAAUUUGUAAAGUGCCAACACAAUAACCAAACAAAUUAUAUUGUGAUUAGACAGACCCUUAAAACUGAAGGAAGCUUUUCUCAUAAAAGCGAAUUUCUCUAGCGCACAUUGUGUGUCUCUAGCGCGCGAUUUUUCUGCUUCACCACCGCGCGAAUCACGGCCGACAGAUGCGCUAUGAAAAUGGUGCUUGCUCUAGUUUUAAGCGCGAUCGCAGUGUAUACCAUCUACAAAAUAUUACUACUAUUCGGAACAAUAGCAACCGCACCAUUAAUCACUUUGGCGAACGUCGUAUACAGGAUCUACAAUCCUCCAAACUUUCCCAUCUCGUACUACAUUUUUGGCAAUGGACUGCUCAGCUUGCUUACCUUUCCGUUUGAGUACAUAGCAUGGAUUCUUUAUAAGGUGAUAACCUUCGUUCUGCUGCUCCCGUUCCAAUGCUUGGCGUUCGUUAUCAAUCUGCUGCUUGCGGUCUUCAGCCUGCUCAACAUGGUGAUGCUUUCAGCGAUAGUAGUAAAGUUGGUGCUGUCGGUGAUUAGUGUAUACUACUUCCGAGAUUUAGUAUUCAAAUAUAUUCCUUUGGAUCUGUCGCUGGAACGGGCUGGAGCGUUGCUUACUGCUUGGAACUGACGGUGAUAUUACCGAUUAUAAUAAUCGAGAAUUAUUCUUCCUAAUGAAUUUACUACCAUCUAAGAUUUGUUUUGACCUGAUGCAAAGUUGUACUAGCGGGCUACCAUGUUUGAAUCAAAGCAUCGUUAUUUGUUAUGCUGUGAUAUGCAAUUGAUUUUGGUAACAUUAAAACACAGUGUUAUAUAAAUAAAAAUAAUAGUAAUCGAAA